rnacentral:rRNA from 1 species
AUUGAACGCUGGCGGCAUGCCUUACACAUGCAAGUCGAACGGUAACGGGCCUUCGGGUGCCGACGAGUGGCGUACGGGUGAGUAAUACAUCGGAACGUGCCCGAUCGUGGGGGAUAACGAGGCGAAAGCUUUGCUAAUACCGCAUACGAUCUACGGAUGAAAGCAGGGGACCGCAAGGCCUUGCGCGGACGGAGCGGCCGAUGGCAGAUGAGGUAGUUGGUGGGAUAAAAGCUUACCAAGCCGACGAUCUGUAGCUGGUCUGAGAGGAUGAUCAGCCACACUGGGACUGAGACACGGCCCAGACUCCUACGGGAGGCAGCAGUGGGGAAUUUUGGACAAUGGGCGCAAGCCUGAUCCAGCCAUGCCGCGUGCAGGAUGAAGGCCUUCGGGUUGUAAACUGCUUUUGUACGGAACGAAAAGCCUUCUUUUAAUACAGGAGGGUCAUGACGGUACCGUAAGAAUAAGCACCGGCUAACUACGUG